UUCACGAGUUGAGAAUUUCACACUUUAUAUCAAUCUUUCUCACACAAAGUUAUUACGUAAAAAAAAAACUCUUUAAUUUCUCAACAAUCUCUCACACAAUACUAUCAAAACAGAUCUGCCUCACUCUUAUACGAACAAUCGACGCAAAAAUUCUUUAUAACUUUCUGUUAUUCUUUUUCUCUAAACAAUCGACACAAAAAAACUCACAACUUUAUUUCUUUCUAUUUUUCCGUGUUUCACAAUGGCACAAAAUAAUAAAAGACUCGAUCAGCAGACUAAAAAGAAGAACAAGAACGACACUCAACAGCCAAGGUUCAAGAUGAUUGAUGAAGGCAUAGAUCUCACGUAAUCACAACCACACAGCGAUUCAGUCACAAGGGGGUGAAAGCCGGUAUUCAGCAUGAAAAGUGAAAAGCCGGUAUUCGUAUGGUGAAAAGGAAAGCCGGUAUAUAUGUAUGUAAAAAGGAAAGUCGGUAAAGGAAAGUUUGAAUACCGGUAUUAGAACAGAGAUUCAAAUGAAAAAUGAAGGAAAACCGGUAUUUGAGUGUAGCAGUAGAAGGUUGGAGGCAGAAAACGGUCGCCGGUAAACUCGCCGGAAAAGUGAUCGCGACCGAAUCUCAUCGAAUCGGAAGGAAUCAAGUCGUUGAACAGGUCGGAUUUAUUCCCAUCGGCACUGAUGUCAAUUGUUAAUUAAUGAUUUAAGGUUUAAUGUUGUAAUUAGGUGGAAUUGUGAGUUUUGAUAUAGUGUGUGAAAAAAUGUGUUUUAGUGUGUGUAUUGAGAGAAUACCGGUAUUAACAUAGAAUUUGCAUAUUGAAUGA